rnacentral:rRNA from 1 species
AUGAAGGCAGGGAAGCUGGAUGAUGUGUGCCGGUUGAUGGGAAGGAUGGUUGAGGAGGGGAUUGUACCAGAUACCAUAUCUUGUAACUCUAUCUUGGAGGCACUUUGUGAAGCUGGGCGGACUUCUGAUGCAAACAAGCUGAGGAUUCUGGCUAAGGAGAAGGGUUUUCAGGCUGAUGGUGUGACUUAUAGCAUGCUGGUGCAGGGGUUUGGUAGGCAGGGAAGGGUGACGGAAGGCGAGGCUGUGUUGGAUGAAAUGCUUGAUUUAGGGUUUAUACCUAACAUUGUGGCUUACAAUAGGCUUCUUGAUAGCUUACACGUGCGGAGAUCUUUGCAAUAA